rnacentral:rRNA from 1 species
GAUGAACGCUGGCGGCGUGCCUAAUACAUGCAAGUCGAGCGAACAGACGAGGAGCUUGCUCCUCUGACGUUAGCGGCGGACGGGUGAGUAACACGUGGAUAACCUACCUAUAAGACUGGGAUAACUUCGGGAAACCGGAGCUAAUACCGGAUAAUAUAUUGAACCGCAUGGUUCAAUAGUGAAAGACGGUUUUGCUGUCACUUAUAGAUGGAUCCGCGCCGCAUUAGCUAGUUGGUAAGGUAACGGCUUACCAAGGCGACGAUGCGUAGCCGACCUGAGAGGGUGAUCGGCCACACUGGAACUGAGACACGGUCCAGACUCCUACGGGAGGCAGCAGUAGGGAAUCUUGCGCAAUGGGCGAAAGCCUGACGGAGCAACGCCGCGUGAGUGAUGAAGGUCUUCGGAUCGUAAAACUCUGUUAUUAGGGAAGAACAAAUGUGUAAGUAACUAUGGACGUCUUGACGGUACCUAAUCAGAAAGCCACGGCUAACUACGUG